rnacentral:lncRNA from 1 species
UUGUUUCCAGGUACUGGAUUGUUGAUUCACUUUCGAUUUGACAUUUAAUUCAAUGAGAAGCUUUAUAGAUUGUGAGCGAAGCAUUUUUACAAUAUCGUUCGAAUGUAGGCUACAUUUUUGAAGGUUUUGCUCGUAUGGAAGGCGAAAGGGAGAAAUCUCCCAUUAAUGCCGAGCAACAAGAGGAGAAUCUCGAUUCUGUGUCCAACGAUGGCCAAGAAACGAGUGGACAGCCGUCGUCUUCGACAUCUGCGUUGAGUUCUAAAGCGGAGAGUCCCGGGAAACAGAUGGAUGGCAGUGAAAGAGCUUUAAGUAGUA